GCAUUAUAUCCUUUUAAUACAGAGAGGAAAGGAACCUCAGGGAUCAAGUUCAAUGCCUUUCAUUAUUUGAAUUUUAAAGUCAUCUUGACACGGUUAUGGAAUCCUGGAUUUGUGAGAGAAUUAUUGGGUUCCAGAUCUAAAAUCACCAGGAUUUAUCAAGUAUGGUGCCUGACGCAUAGUAAGUAUUUUUUUAAUGCUUGUUCCAUUAAAGUAACCGAACCACAUCUUAUAUUUGGCAAUUUGAUUACCUGCUCUGAGCUUUGUUUUUAAUAUGUGUACAACACAAAUUAUAUCACAAGGUAAAAUAAAUUCGCCAAGCUUUAAGCUCCCUAGAGUGUUUUACAGUGAUUUCUGAGAGUUCUACAUGGUACAUCUCAGAUGCUCAGAAAUCCUUUUCUCUUUCUUCAGCCUCCUCCUUCAGCUGCCCUGAGGCUGCCUUUGCUGGCUGCUUCUGCUACUGCUGCUCUGAGAAAGGGAACCGUGUUCUUGGUGUUGUGCUCUAUCCCUUUAACUUCUCACUGGUCUGCAGAGACCAGGCAGUAUCAGUUAAUUGGAUUUUAUCAAAAAUCCUCUGAUACUAUAUGAGGGACACAAUCUAGAGAAUCAUAUGCAGCCCUGCAGCUUUCUCCAGCCAGUCACAGAGUUGGUAUUCAAAAACUAAGAAUUACUGAUGUGCUCAGUAAUAGAAGCACUCUGAAACAAGAAAGCAGAUGUCCCAAUCCAGACCAAUUUUCCUCUUGAUGAAGCAUUAGAGAUUGAGUUCAGAACCACAUUUUUAUCCUUCAUAGUCCAUUGUCAGUAAUCAUGUAACGCGCUCUUCAUGGGUCUCAUUCCUAUACAUUUCAGAAUGUAGCUUCUAUUACUCUCAAUCAGUCUUUUUAUCAUCUUCUCCAAAUCUAGCUAAAGACUUCCUUCCAGAGUGUCUGGGUUGCUCUAAACCAGCUGAGCAGGACAAAGUUGGAAAAAGCUGACGGCUAUCCUAAUGCUACUAAUCCCUGCCCUUGGAUACCGAUGAUUCAGAUGAGCAUCUGAGGAGGAAACAUCCAAAGCUAGUUACCUGAAGCUCAGCUUUCUCUUCUUUAGAAAGUGCUGACAUUUCUGCUUGGUUGAUAUGUAGCCCACAUGAUCUUAGACGUGCAUGAUCAAACAAUAAUGCCCUGGGAAGUCAUAUUCUUAGUAACUGUCAUGUUGCUGUCCAAGUCGGGAUUUACUUUCAUUUUGGACCCUGACAAGGAUUGGCUUUCCUAACCAAAAGAAGAAUUAAGACCUUUUCCCAUAUCUGUUGAGCGCAGGUACUGAUCAGAGUACAGAGAAUGUACUGACCAUGAGGGGCAGAACUCAGAAAGAGGAAGAGGGACAGGGCAAUACAGCACCACUGAGCAGCCCUAUACUUAGCAGUGAAGGGAAGUCAGGCAGUUUUAUGGAUGACAUACUGGAGGAAAAGAUAGCUUUGCAUGGUAAAACUUCAACAGCCCAAGAAAUGUUUAGCUUUAUUUUCCAUAGAUUGUCUACAAAGAAUUAGGCAUUCGUUCAAAGUAUAAAAUUAGAAUAUUAAAUAUACUUUUAUAUAACACACUUUGGGCUGCCCAGAUAUUUUUAUAUGAGCCCCCUAAAGAUUUAUGUCACUUUGUUUAAAUUUUUGAGCUAAACAAGCUUAUUAGAUUUCUAGUGAUAAAGAACUUGAGACGAAACCCAG
rnacentral:lncRNA from 1 species